rnacentral:pre_miRNA from 1 species
GGCAUAGACCGCGUCGGCCUUAGUGUCAAGCGGAACAAUUAAGGCACGCGGUGAAUGCCGA